rnacentral:rRNA from 1 species
GACGAACGCUGGCGGCGUGCUUAACACAUGCAAGUCGAGCGAUGAAGCACCUUCGGGUGUGGAUUAGCGGCGAACGGGUGAGGAACACGUGAAGAACCUGCCUUCAACUCUGGGAUAACUCCGGGAAACCGGGGCUAAUACCGGAUAUGAGCCUUGGCCGCAUGGCCGGGGCUGGAAAGUUUUUCGGUUGAAGAUGACUUCGCGGCCUAUCAGCUUGUUGGUGAGGUAAUGGCUCACCAAGGCGACGACGGGUAGCCGGCCUGAGAGGGCGACCGGCCACACUGGGACUGAGACACGGCCCAGACUCCUACGGGAGGCAGCAGUGGGGAAUAUUGGGCAAUGGAGGAAACUCUGACCCAGCGACGCCGCGUGAGGGAUGAGGGCCUUCGGGUUGUAAACCUCUUUCAGUAGGGAAGAAGCGAAAGUGACGGUACCUACAGAAGAAGCACCGGCUAACUAUGUGCCAGCAGCCGCGGUAAUAC